GACAGAGGGGGCAAGCGUUGCUCGGAAUUACUGGGCGUAAAGGGCGCGUAGGCGGGAUGGCAAGUCGGUCGUGAAAUCCCUCGGCUCAACUGAGGAGCGUCGAUCGAAACUGCCGUUCUUGAGGGUUGCAGAGGAGACUGGAAUUCCCGGUGCAGCGGUGAAAUGUGUAGAGAUCGGGAGGAACACCCGUGGCGAAAGCGGCGCGCUGGACCACUACUGACGCUGAGGAACGAAAGCUAGGGGAGCAAACAGG
rnacentral:rRNA from 1 species